UCGAAAUGCAAGUUCGGAGAGGGCACCUUAAGAGGUGCCGGGGCUUCUCCCGUUU
rnacentral:tRNA from 1 species